CCUACGGGUGGCUGCAGUGAGGAAUAUUGGUCAAUGGCCGAGAGGCUGAACCAGCCAAGUCGCGUGAGGGAUGACGGCCCUACGGGUUGUAAACCUCUUUUGUCGGGGAGCAAAGAGAGUCCCGUGUGGCUCAUUGCGAGUACCCGAAGAAAAAGCAUCGGCAAACUCCGUGCCAGCAGCCGCGGUCAUACGGAGGAUGCGAGCGUUAUCCGGAUUUAUUGGGUUUAAAGGGUGCGCAGGCGGAGGUGCAAGUCAGUGGUCAAAUUGCGGGGCUCAACCCCGUACUGCCGUUGAAACUGCAGCCCUUGAGUGCGCGAGAAGUAUGCGGAAUGCGUGGUGUAGCGGUGAAAUGCAUAGAUAUCACGCAGAACUCCGAUUGCGAAGGCAGCAUACCGGCGCGCAACUGACGCUCAUGCACGAAAGCGUGGGUAUCGAACAGGAUUAGAUACCCGUGUAGUC
rnacentral:rRNA from 1 species